UACGUAGGGUGCAAGCGUUGUCCGGAAUUAUUGGGCGUAAAGAGCUCGUAGGUGGUUCGGUAAGUCGGAUGUGAAAUCUCCAGGCUCAACCUGGAGGGGUCAUUCGAUACUGCCGUGACUAGAGGUCGGUAGGGGAGUGUGGAAUUCCUGGUGGAGCGGUGAAAUGCGCAGAUAUCAGGAGGAACACCCGUAGCGAAGGCGGCACUCUGGGCCGAUUCUGACACUGAGGAGCGAAAGCGUGGGGAGCGAACAGG
rnacentral:rRNA from 1 species